AUGCUUACCUGGCAGGGGAGAUGCCAUGAGCACAAAGGUGGUUCUCCCAGGGCGAGGCUGAUCCAUGGCACUCGGCGGGGGCUGCCCCCUGCCAUGUCCCCACAUGUGGGAAACUCCACCGCCCAGUUUGUGGGCGUAGGAGACUGUGUUCGUGCUCUCCCCUG